rnacentral:rRNA from 1 species
GUAGGUGGCAAGCGUUGUCCGGAAUUAUUGGGCGUAAAGCGCGCGCAGGCGGUCCUUUAAGUCUGAUGUGAAAGCCCACGGCUCAACCGUGGAGGGUCAUUGGAAACUGGGGGACUUGAGUACAGAAGAGGAAAGCGGAAUUCCAAGUGUAGCGGUGAAAUGCGUAGAGAUUUGGAGGAACACCAGUGGCGAAGGCGGCUCUCUGGUCUGUAACUGACGCUGAGGCGCGAAAGCGUGGGGAGCAAACAGGGAUUAGAUACCCUGGUAGUCCACGCCGUAAACGAUGAGUGCUAAGUGUUAGGGGGUUUCCGCCCCCUUAGUGCUGCAGCUAACGCAUUAAGCACUCCGCCUGGGGAGUACGGCCGCAAGGCUG